GACGAACGCUGGCGGCGUGCUUAACACAUGCAAGUCGAACGGAAAGGCCCUGCUUUUGUGGGGUGCUCGAGUGGCGAACGGGUGAGUAACACGUGAGUAACCUGCCCUUGACUUUGGGAUAACUUCAGGAAACUGGGGCUAAUACCGGAUAGGAGCUCCUGCUGCAUGGUGGGGGUUGGAAAGUUUCGGCGGUUGGGGAUGGACUCGCGGCUUAUCAGCUUGUUGGUGGGGUAGUGGCUUACCAAGGAUUUGACGGGUAGCCGGCCUGAGAGGGUGACCGGCCACAGUGGGACUGAGAUACGGCCCAGACUCCUACGGGAGGCAGCAGUGGAGAAUAUUGCACAAUGGGCGGAAGCCUGAUGCAGCAACGCCGCGUGCGGGAUGACGGCCUUCGGGUUGUAAACCGCUUUCGCCUGUGACGAAGCGUGAGUGACGGUAAUGGGUAAAGAAGCACCGGCUAACUACGU
rnacentral:rRNA from 1 species